UACAGAGGGUGCAAGUGUUGUUCGGAAUCAUUGGGCGUAAAGGGCGCGUAGGUGGUCCGGUAAGUCAGAUGUGAAAGCCCUGGGCUUAACCCAGGAACUGCAUUUGAAACUGCCGGACUAGAGUUCAGUAGAGGAUAGUGGAAUUCCCGGUGUAGAGGUGAAAUUCGUAGAGAUCGGGAGGAACACCAGUGGCGAAAGCGGCUAUCUGGGCUGCAACUGACACUGAGGCGCGAAAGCGUGGGGAGCAAACAGG
rnacentral:rRNA from 1 species